CCUACGGGAGGCAGCAGUGAGGAAUAUUGGUCAAUGGCCGGAAGGCUGAACCAGCCAAGCCGCGUGAAGGACGAAGGUGCCAAGCAUUGUAAACUUCUUUUGUCAAGGGACAAAAUCAGGCUCGAGAGCCUGACCGAGGGUCCUUGAAGAAAAAGCAUCGGCUAACUCCGUGCCAGCAGCCGCGGUAAUACGGAGGAUGCGAGCGUUAUCCGGAUUUAUUGGGUUUAAAGGGUGCGUAGGCGGGCUGUUAAGUCAGCGGUAAAAGGCCGGGGCUCAACCCCGGCGAGCCGUUGAAGCUGGCUGUCUUGAGAUGUCGAGAGGUAUGCGGAAUGCGCAGUGUAGCGGUGAAAUGCUUAGAUAUUGCGCAGAACUCCGAUUGCGAAGGCAGCAUACCGGCGGCGAUCUGACGCUGAGGCACGAAAGCGUGGGUAUCGAACAGGAUUAGAUACCCGGGUAGUC
rnacentral:rRNA from 1 species